UGCACCUCAAUAUUCAGAUGUGUGUAAACAGUUUGUCAAAUUUACAUGUUUCAAACUGCACAAGUAGUAAUAAACUAUGCAUACCAAUCCAAAAAUACACGUGC